rnacentral:rRNA from 1 species
AGUCGCCGCGGUAAUACGUAGGGUGCAAGCGUUAAUCGGAAUUACUGGGCGUAAAGCGUGCGCAGGCGGUUUGUUAAGACAGAUGUGAAAUCCCCGGGCUCAACCUGGGAACUGCAUUUGUGACUGGCAAGCUAGAGUGUGGCAGAGGGGGGUGGAAUUCCGCGUGUAGCAGUGAAAUGCGUAGAUAUGCGGAGGAACACCGAUGGCGAAGGCAGCCCCCUGGGCCAACACUGACGCUCAUGCACGAAAGCGUGGGGAGCAAACAGGAUUAGAGACCCCCGUAGUCCCUGUCUCUUAUACA